rnacentral:rRNA from 1 species
AGAGUUUGAUCCUGGCUCAGAAUGAACGCUGGCGGCAGGCCUAACACAUGCAAGUCGAACGGGUGCCUUCGGGUACUAGUGGCGGACGGGUGAGUAACACGUGGGAACAUGCCCCUUGGUACGGAAUAGUCUCGGGAAACUGGGGGUAAUACCGUAUGAGCUCGAAAGAGGAAAGAUUUAUCGCCAAGGGAUUGGCCCGCGUUGGAUUAGGUAGUUGGUGGGGUAAUGGCCUACCAAGCCGACGAUCCAUAGCUGGUUUGAGAGGAUGAUCAGCCACACUGGGACUGAGACACGGCCCAGACUCCUACGGGAGGCAGCAGUGGGGAAUCUUAGACAAUGGGCGCAAGCCUGAUCUAGCCAUGCCGCGUGAGCGAUGAAGGCCUUAGGGUUGUAAAGCUCUUUCAGUGGGGAAGAUAAUGACUGUACCCACAGAAGAAGCCCCGGCUAACUCCGUGCCAGCAGCCGCGGUAAA